GACAGAGGAUGCAAACGUUGCUCGGAUUUACUGGGCGUAAAGCGCGCGCAGGCGGAUGGUUAAGUCCUCUGUGAAAUCGCCCGGCUCAACUGGGUGGCUGCGGAGGAGACUGGUCGUCUAGAGGAGCCUAGAGGCCGGUGGAACUCCCGGUGUAGUGGUGAAAUGCGUAGAGAUCGGGAAGAACACCAGUGGCGAAGGCGGCCCCCUGGGCCGCGCCUGACGCUGAGACGCGAAAGCGUGGGGAGCGAACGGG
rnacentral:rRNA from 1 species